rnacentral:miRNA from 1 species
GCCGAGGGGGGGUUGCGGCGCAGU